rnacentral:lncRNA from 1 species
ACAAAUGUUUUAAAUGCUACACUCAUGAUCUUAUUAACCAUCAACUUUGUCUUGCUCACUAUGCUUAACGUUAGAGAAGAACAAAUACACUUUUGGUUCUGUUGGUGUUUUCCACCAACAGGGCCCAUGCACUUGAUCUCUGCCUUAUCUCUAUGAGCAGGUACACUUAGAGCAAAACAUGGUGGAGUUUUACAACUCCCAGACUCCACCAAGUGAAGGACCUGGAUCUACGAGCACAAACACACUAAGCAAGAUACUGCCAACGCCGCACUUCGAACUGCUGGGUAAACGAAGAACAUGGGUGACACCGUAUCAAGAGGUGCAGACGUCAAGGUCCGCACCUAAAUCAAAUGACGCACCUACAGAAUGAACACAGUGAGAAGUCUUGUUCAGAAGACUUAAAACAUUGAACCCUCGCCGAAAGGUAAAAUCGAUAGUUAUCCAUAUUUAUCCUUUCUGCACUCCCUUUUCCCUUAAAUUAUUUACUUUUCUUAAAUGACUUGUUAGUUAUUCAUGCUAUCUUGAAAAGAGAAUAAAAAUGUUAAAAAUAGUAAGCCCCAUGUGAGUAUGCUCAUGGCAUAAAACCCAUAAGUACAUUCACUGUGGUGGCAUAAAAAUAAAAUAAAUAUAUUCCUAUCCUACAAAAAUGAAAAUAUAAAAAUAAAUUUAUGAUCCUACCAA